UAGGGAAUCUUCGGCAAUGGACGAAAGUCUGACCGAGCAACGCCGCGUGAGUGAAGAAGGUUUUCGGAUCGUAAAACUCUGUUGGUAGAGAAGAACGUUGGUGAGAGUGGAAAGCUCAUCAAGUGACGGUAACUACCCAGAAAGGGACGGCUAACUGCGUGCCAG
rnacentral:rRNA from 1 species